AAUCCCGCCCGCGCGCCUGGGGACGGGGGACAUCUCGGGCUCUCCGGGCUGGGCGGCACGAUGUGCGGCGGGAACCUGGGUUUCCACAGCCCCACACGGACCGAGGGACUCGGAACAGAAGUGCGGGGCAUGGGGUCGUGGCCUCUGGCCUCCCAUCCCGGGCAAGGCUCUUGUGAAAACCCCAGGCUGAAGCCGGCACAGGCCUGAAGAUGUCUUUCUGCCAUCGUUGUGAACACUUCAGUGGCGUGCUGAGGCCUGGAGCCCCCAAACUCUGGGAAAACAGAGCUGAACAUUGCAAGGAAGUCUGAGAGGAAGCUGAAGCUGAAUGAGGUCAACGCUGUGAUGCAUAUUCCCAACCAAGAUGCAUGCAUAUUCCCUGUAAACUGCUCAGCAGUGCAGCCCUGCUGGAGUCGAUUUUCCUAUAAGAAGUUACUGGGUGGAAAGAACCCUAACCAGGACAGCCUUCAGUUAUGGCCUGAAGUGUGUUUCAUACAUCAAAGUCCUCAGAGUCAAUUGUAAUUAUUGAGCACCUACUAAUUUCUACAUGUGAGCAACAUAGAAAAGGUAUCUUCAAUUUUGGAGAUCACACUGAAGAAGCAAGAAGGGAACAGUUAAAAGUAAGUAUGAGG
rnacentral:lncRNA from 1 species